GAUGAACGCUGGCGGCGUGCUUAACACAUGCAAGUCGAACGAUUAAGCCACCUUCGGGUGGGUAUAGAGUGGCGAACGGGUGAGUAACACGUGACCAACCUGCCCCGCGCUCCGGGACAACCGCUGGAAACGGCGGCUAAUACCGGAUACUCCGCGCAUCCCGCAUGGGACGCGCGGGAAAGCCCUUACGGCGCGGGAUGGGGUCGCGGCCCAUUAGGUAGUAGGCGGGGUAACGGCCCACCUAGCCCGCGAUGGGUAGCCGGACUGAGAGGUCGAUCGGCCACAUUGGGACUGAGAUACGGCCCAGACUCCUACGGGAGGCAGCAGUGGGGAAUUUUGCGCAAUGGGGGAAACCCUGACGCAGCAACGCGCGUGCGGGAUGAAGGCCUUCGGGUUGUAACCGACUUUCAGCAGGGACGAUAAUGACGGUACCUGAGGAGGAAGCUCCGGCUAACUACGUG
rnacentral:rRNA from 1 species